AAAAACAAAACAAACAAAACAAAAAGAAGAAAGAAAGAAAAAGAAUAUUAUUUUUAAGAGCUAGGCAGUAGCGGCUAGCACCUUUAGUUGCAGCACUUGUGAGGAAGACCCAGGGGUUCCAGACCAGCCUGGUCUACAGAGGGAGUUCCAGGUAGCCAGGGCUAUACAGAGAAACCCUGUCUUGAAAACACAAACGAGGGGCUGGAGAGAUGGCUCAGCAGUUAAGAGCACUGACUGCUCUUCCGAAGGUUCUGAGUUCAAAUCCCAGCAACCACAUGUUGGCUUACAACCAUCCAUAAUGACAUCUGACUCCCUCUCCUGGUGUGUCUGAAGACAGCUACAGUGUACUUACAUAUAAAAUAAAUAAUAAAUAAAAUCUUUAAAAAAAAGAAGAAAACACAAACGAAAACAUUUUAGGGGGCUGGAGAGCUGACUCAGAGGUUAAGAGCAUUGGCUGAUCUUCCAAAGGACCCAGGUUUAAUUCCCAGCACCAAACGUGGUAGCCCACAACUAUCUGUGACUCCAGUUUCAUGAGAUCUGACACCCUCACACAGACAUAUAAGUAGGCAAAACACAUAAAAUAGAAAUAAAUUAUAUAUACAAAAAUUUGGGGUUGUUUUGUUUUUCCUUGUUUUCUUUUUGUUUUUCGAGACAGGGUUUCUCUGUGUAGCCCUGGCUGUCCUGGAACUCCCUCUGUAGACCAGGCUGGCCUCGAACUCAGAAAUCCGCCUUUGUCUGUCUCCCAAAGUGCUGGGAUUAAAGGCAUGCACCACCGCUGCCCGGCAAAAAUUAGAUUUGUUUUCUUUCACGUGCGUGAGUGUUUUGCCUGCAUGUAUGUCUAUGUACUAUAUUCAUGAGGUCCCUGUAUGUCAGAAGAGGAUGUCCUAUUCUCCGGAUCUAGAACUACAGAUGAUUGUGAGCCACCAUGUAGGUUCUGGGAACUGAAUCCUGGUCCUCUAGAAGAACAGCCAGUGUUCUCAACAGCUGACUCAUUUCUCUAGCUCCUAAAAAAAACUUUUGAAUCACAAAAUAUUGGGGCCGAAGAGAGAGGCUCAAGGAGUAAGAAAGACUGCUUGCUGCUCUUUCAGAGUUCUUUGGAUCCAAGUUAAGUUCCCAGGCCCCACAGUAGGUGGCUCACAUCCAUCUAUAACCCCAGUGCCUGGAGCUCCUUUGCCCUCUUCUGAGCUCUGUGCUCACUAUACUCCUGUGUAUAAAGAACCACACUUACACACAUAAUUAAUAAAUAAAAAUGGCCAGGUGUGGUGAGACACACCUUUAAUCCUAGCACUCAAGAGGCAGAGGCAGGAAGAUCUCUGUGAGUUUGAGACCGGCCUGGUCUACACAGGAAGGAAAGCAAUGCAAAAACCUAAAAAUACAUUAAAAUGAAAUAAAAACCACAAAGUAAGUGAACAAUCAGAUACAAAUCAAACCCACAAGAGGAAGGCAUCACUGUUCAAUAAAGGGACUGUAGGAGACGAGGCCAGAGUCGGGGGGAGUAGCUAAGGAUGCAGAGAAAGGGGAACUCACCACUGGGGAAAAUGAAAAUGAGCAGGGUUUAUAUAUAUGGAAAACAGAAAGAAGGUUCCUCAAAACACUAAAAAUAAAACGGACAUAUGACUUUGCUAUCCCACACUGGGGUACGUGAGCAACGCAUAUUAAUUUGCUGUGUCAAGGAGAUCUCUAAACGUCCACGUCUGUCUGUCUUUAUUGCUCAUCCUAAAAUACAUUUUACAUUAUUAUAUGCUUGCAUGAUGUGAGAGAAGCACGUACAUAUUAAGGGAUUCAGAAGACAGCGUUGUGAGGGUGGUCGUCUCCAUGUUUACGUGAGUUCUGAUGAAGUCAGGCUGUCAGGCUUGUGUAGCAAGUGCCUUACUCACUGAGCUCAGCUCUCGAUUUUUUUUUUUUUUUUUUUUUUUGAGAAAGGGUCUCAUGUGAUCAAACUAGCCUGUAAUUCACUAUGUAGAGCCAAGGCUGGUCAUUUUUCUUCUGCCUCUGGAAUUAACAAGUCUGUAUCAACACACCCAAUUAAUGCAGUGCUGGGCACUGAACCCAGAGCUUCACGCAUGCUAGGCAAGCACUCUAGCAACUGAACUACAAACACUGUGACAACUGAGUGAUAAGCACCAUGUCAAAAGAGCUAUAAGCACUACACCAACUAAGUUAUAUGCACUAGAUCAACUGAACCACAAGCACUGUACCAACUGAGCUCUUUUCCCAGGUUCCUUUCAUAUUUAUCCCAGCCAAUAAGUGGAGUUAACUGAGGUGUCCUUUGACAGAUGAAGGGAUAAAGAAAAUGUGCACAUUGGGUGUGGUUCUAGAGGCCCAUAGUCUCUGUUAUGCCAGAGGGUAAUACAGGAGCAAUAUAAUCAAGAGCCCCAGCCUGGAGGCUGGACAGAUGGCUCAGAGGCUAAGAGAACUGGCUGCUGCCAGGCAGUGGUGGUGCACACAUUUAAUCCCAGCUCUUGGGAGGCAGAGGCAGGGAGAUUUCUGAGUUGGAGGCCAGCCUGGUCUACAGAGUGAGUUCCAGGACAGCCAGGGCUACACAGAGAAACCAUGUCUUGAAAGAGAGAGAGAGAGGGAGAGAGAGAGAGGGAGAGGGAGAGAGAGAGGGAGAGAGAGAGAGAGAGAGAGAGAGAGGGAGAGGGAGAGGGAGAGGGAGAGGGAGAGGGAGAGGGAGAGGGAGAGGGAGAGAGAGAGAGAAUGUGUGAGAGUGUGAGUGAGCUGGCUGUUCUUCCAAAAGUCCUUAGUUCAGUUCCUACUAACUGUAUGGUGGCUCAUAGCCAUCUAUAAUGAGAUCUGGUGCCCUCUUCUGGCUUGCAAGCAUACAUGCAGGCAGACUGGAUGUAUAUUUUUUUUUAAAAAUAUUUAUUUAUUAUUAUAUCUUAAGUACACUGUAGCUGUCUUCAGACACAGCAAAAGAGGGCAUCAGAUCUCAUUACAAGUGGUUGUGAGCCACCAUGUGGUUGCUGGAAUUUGAACUCAGAAUCUUCGGAAGAGCAGUCAGUGCUCUUAACCAUGAGCCAUCUCUCUAGCCCCCUGGAUGUAUACUUAAUAAAUAGAACAAAGGGGGAAAGAUGCUGCAUGGCUUCUUAAAAAAAAAAAAAAAGAGGCCAGCCUGGGCUACAUAGUAAACCCUAAGGCCAGUCACAGUGGCAAUGCUUGUAGUCCCAACAUUGGGGAAGCUGGCCAGUCAACCUGGAAGCCAAACCAAGACCCUCAGAUUCACUGGCCAGCCAGCCUGGCUGAAUCCAAGAACUCUAGACUCACUGAGAGACCCUGGGUUUCAUAAACUAAGGUAGAAAAAAAAGUGGGCAAUGGUGAUGCAUGCCUUUAAUCCUGGCACUCUGGAGGAUGUGAGUUCAAGGCCAGCCUGGUCUACAGAGCAGUUCCAGGACAGAGAAACAUUGCCUCAAAAAACAAAAACAAACUAGCUAAGGUGGAGAGGACAGAGCAGGACACUCACUUUGACCUUUGUGCAUAGGUUUCCUGUCCACCCUCGUACCCACUCACACACUAAGAAUAGAAGGACUAGAGAAAGGAUGCCAGCACCUGAGAGGCAGAGACAGAAGGGUCUCUCAGCAGACCACAGCCUGAAAGGAAAGGGAAAAGAAGGAGUGUUAUUCAGCCCUGUUGUUAUACAUGGUAGGCGAUAUUAAAUGUAAGUGACCAGACGGAAACACACAUGUUCUCUUUGGUGAGGAAAAUAAAAGCUGAAUACAGACAGGCAUGGUGAUGCACGCCUUUAAUCCCAGCACUCAGGAAGAAGAGGCAAGUGGAUCUCUGUGAGUUUGAGAUUGGCCAGCCAGAGCUACGUAGUAAGGCCCACUUUUUGCACUUACAAAGACUUGGAUUUCAGGUUUGUCAGGAGGACUCCACAGGUAAAGAUGCUUGUUGCCAAGCUUCACAUCUGACUUUAAGACCUAGGAUACCAAGCCGGGCAUGAUGGUGCACACCUUUAAUCCCAGCACUCGGGAAGCAGAGGCAGGUGGAUUUCAGAGUUCGAGGCCAGCCUGGUCUACAAAGUGAGUUCCAGAACAACCAGGGCUAUACAGAGAAACCCUGUCUCAAAAAACCAAAAACAAAAACAAAAACAAAAGAAAGAGAGAGAGAGAAAGAGAGAACCAAUUCCCACAAAUGGUCUUUUGAUCUCCAUACCCACAUGUGUGCCCCCAACACAAAUGAAUGAAUGAAUAAAAAGAUAAACAAACAAAUACCAGUAAGAACAAACCCCCAAAACACUAGGUUCUUGGGCCAAUGAGACGGCUCAGUGGAUAAAGGUGCUUGCUACCAAGUCUAACAACCUGAGCUUGAUCCCUGGAACUUAUCUAGUGAAAGAAAAGGACUAACAACUCAACAUCACCUUCUGACCUCCACAUCUGCAGCUUGGCAUAUGUAUGCCCACUCUCAACUGCACAUAGAAAAGGCACUGUUGGUUAGAAUAAAUCCUUGUUUUCUUUGUGGUGCUGGAGAUAGAACCAAGGGCCUCAUGUAUACUUGGCUACCACUGUUUAAUAGUUAAUUAGUAAAUCUAAUAGUAUAUCCUAGAAAUGUUCAAAAAUAUAUCAGUGAGGCUGGGGCUCAGUGGAUAGGGUGUUUGCCUAACAAGCAGGAGGCCCUGGACUCCAGCCUCAGUACUACACGAACAGCACAUAGUUCCACAAGACAGUCAUGUUAGCACGAGAAAGGCAGAGACAGAAGAUCAGGGUUCAUGGUUAUUCUCAGCUACAUAGUGAGUUCCAAGCUAGGCUGGGCUACAUAAUACAUGUCUGAAAAUACAUAAACUGAUAACAAAUGCAAAGACGACGACGACGACAACAACAACAACAACAAAACUAUAUGCAUUUAGCCCAAUAAUUACAUUCUCCAGGGUCUGCUCCACCAGUGAGUUAUGGCACUGUGUAGCCUGGAACUCACUAUGUAGACCAAGGUUGCCUGAACUCACUAAGAACCACCUGCCUUGGUCUGCCUCUGCCUCCUAAGUGCUGGGAUUAAAGGCUUGUACCACCAUGCCCGGCCUGCCUUGGUCUUCUGUUGUCUCUUUGAUCACAAGGCUCCUUCAGUAUUAGAAUCCAUAAUGCUGGUUACUGAAUUUUCAUCUCAAGCCAGGAAUUCCACCCUUUGUACUCCUCAUUUACAAAAGAAUCACAAUUUUCCCAUUAUCCAGGUGAUGAAAAGGAGGUUGGCUCAGAGACCAGAGUCCAAGCUCUGUCCAGCCCUCAUAGUGGAUGGCAGUGAGCCAGGUGUAAGCUCUCAGCACCCCCUGAAGGUCAAGUGUGGAACAGAGACAAACCAUAAACUCUUUCAAUUAUCUUUGGAGAGGUUCUUAGUGAGGUGAUCUGGAUCUGUUCAUGAGGUAAUUUUUUUUUCCCCUCUGCCCUGGGAGAGUCCUAGAAGGACAGGGGGCAGGAUCCUGGAUUAGAUGUGAGUGGAGGGACACAGGGCUGAUAGGAGGGAUUUCAGAGGGAUAUAGCCAGCCCUGGAGAAUCUAAGAAAUACUGAAAGCUUUCUGGCAGGACUUUCAUUUAAAGAAUCAAACACAUCUGGAAAGAGGAGGCUGGAGGAUUUCAAGAUUACAUACUGGAGUUCUCUCUCAACAAAUAAAUAAACCCCAUAGGGGCUGGAGAGAUGGCUCAGCUGCUAGGGCACCUAAACUGCACAAACAUCUUGAUCUUUAGCACUAAAUAAACCAGCAUGGUGGCACAUACAUAUAAUCUCAGGACUCUUGAGGUGGGGGGCAGAAGAAUCAGAAAUUCAGCCGGGCAUGGUGGCGCAUGCCUUUAAUCCCAGCACUCGGGAGGCAGAGGCAGGCGGAUUUCUGAGUUCGAAGCCAGCCUGGUCUACAGAGUGAGUUCCAGGACAGCCAGGGCUACACAGAGAAACCCUGUCUCAAAAAAAAAAAAAAAAAAAAAGAAUCAGAAAUUCAAGGUUACUCUUGACUACACAGAGUUCAAGGCCAGCCAAAUCAGACCCCUUCACACACCAAAGAGAGGGGGAGGGAAGAUCAGAUAAAAUUAGAUUCACCUGGUCAUGUAAGCAUAGCGGUGCAGACAACCAGCAAUCCAGACCUCCGGAAGCCAGACAGGGAGACUCUGAACUCAAGGUCAUCCUUGGCUACACAGAGAAGCCUUGUUUACAAAAGAAUAGGAUGGCGUUUGAGAUGGCUCAGCUGGUUAGGUGGCUUGCCACCAAACUGGAUGGCCUGAGUUCUAUCCACAGAGUGAAAGGAAAUCGCAACUCCCUUGAGUUGUCUUCUUACUUCCACACUCAAACACAAAAAUAAAUUAAGAAAACUAAAAUAGGAGCUGGAGAGAUAGCUCUGUGGUUAAGAGCACUGUCUGCUCUUCCCGAGUUCGAUUCCCAGCAACCACAUGGUGGCUCAUAGCCACCUAUAAUGGGAUCUGAUGCUCUCUUCAGGCAUGCAAACAGAGCACUUAUAUGUAUAAAAUAAAUAAAAUAUUUCUUAAAAGUAAAAAAUUAAAAUACAUAUAUAUUGAAAAAGCGAAAAAUAGCCACAUGACAUGGACAUGGCACACACCUUUAAAAUUUUUUUCUUAAUUUCCAGACAGGGUCUCACUCUGAAGUCACUAUGUACUAUAUAGACCAGGCUGGCCUCGAAUUGCAGUGUUGCUUCUGAGUGCUAGAAUUAAAAUCAUGCAACACCACGGCCCAGCCCAGCACACAUCUUUAGUCUCAGUACUCAGGAAUCAGAAUCAUGUGGAUCUCUCUGAGUUCGAGGUCGCCCUGCGCUGCAUAGGGUGAGUCAGGAGUGAGACCCUUACUCUAAAAGACAAAAGUCAAUUCAUAUCAAUAAUGGUAAAGGGAGAGAAAGACACAGGAAAAAAAUGUAGGCAAAAUACGCAGUGUAGCAGGAGGCUCAUCCACGUUCAAUAAAAAAGAUAAACGCUUAUUAGCCAGGUACCGCCCAGGUAUGGGCGGACCCUCCAUCAAUACUUGAGGUUCAUUGGUUAAAAGAGAACCGCGUCUCUGGGGUUUGCUUCCCGGCACCCGGCUCUGGCUCUCCGGUGUCGGGGCUUCCGGCUGUCAAGUGGAGCUGAUCCACAGCCUCAGGCUUCGGGACCUGGCGCUGAUGGCGGCGGAAUCGCCUUCGUGACGUACCCGGCGCACAUACGACGUCAUCAGCCACCGCCGCGAGCGUCCGUACCGCAGCGACCUCGGCGCUGCGAGAGGUCCUCCGAGAUGCUGCGGUUGUUCCAGGCCGCUUCCCGGGCCUCGCUUCGACUCUCUGGCUCCCGGGUCAUCCACUCUCUAGCGGAAGGCGCGGAGCGGCCGGCCGAGAUUUCAGAGCCGCGAGAUAGCGCUGGUCUCCUAGAUCCUGUUUUGCGCAAGUGUGAGCUCCGGAUCCCAGUGCACCGGCGUCCGGUGCAAGCCUGGGUCGAGUCUCUCCGAGGCUUUGAGCAGGAGCGCAUCGGCCUGGCGGAGCUGCACCCCGACGUGUUUGCAACGGCGCCUCGGCUGGACAUUGUGCACCAGGUCGCCAUCUGGCAGAGGAACUUCAGGAGAAUCAGCUAUGCUAACACCAAGACCAGGGCUGAGGUGAGUGGUGGUGGCCGCAAGCCCUGGCAACAGAAAGGCAGUGGCCGUGCUCGGCAUGGCAGCAUCCGUUCUCCCUUAUGGCGAGGAGGCUUUCCUUGCCCACUCUUCCCAUGGUACCUAGCAGGAUCUUCUGGCCCCUCCCACUCCCCCAGCUACUGAACAUCACCCAUUCCAACACCUUAUGCCAGCCAUCAAGCAAAUUUCUGAGAUCCCAGACCAGCGGUGACACCAACACCUCAUACGCCACUGUCCCUGCAGGAGGUGUAGCCCAUGGUCCCCGGGGUCCUACAAGUUACUACUACAUGUUGCCCAUGAAAGUGCGGGCACUGGGCCUCAAGGUGGCCUUGACUGUCAAGCUCAUGCAGGAUGAUCUACACAUUGUGGAUUCCCUGGAGCUACCCACGGCAGACCCCCAGUACCUGACAGAGUUGGCCCAGUACCGCCACUGGGGGAGUUCCGUGCUCCUUGUAGACUUAACACAUGAAGAGAUGCCCAAGAAUGUCGUGGCAGCCACUUCAGGGCUCAACAGUUUCAACCUGAUCCCCGCAGUUGGCCUGAAUGUGUACAGCAUGCUCAAGCACCAGACUCUGGUCCUCACCCUGCCUUCCGUCGCCUUCCUGGAGGACAAGCUACUCUGGCAGGACUCAAGAUACACUCCGCUCUACCCCUUCCGCUUGCCCUACAGUGACUUCCCCUAACCCUGCCCUGGUCACCUAGGGACCUGCCCCACUUGGGGGCCAAGUCAGCACCCCAGCCAUCCUGCAAAAACAGCAGUUCCCUGGGAGCUGUUGGACCUUGUUGCAAGGAGGGGACAACUGCACAGAGCCAAGAUGAGUGCCUGCCUGGGAUCUCUUUUGUCACAUUAAAAAUAAACCCUAUUUUUCACAAGA